UCCGAUGAACCUCUUUUUGAUUCCUAUUUCACUUGAUUUUUUUUAUCAUUGUGUUUACCGUCCUUUUACAUGUAGAGUAACCGAAGAAAAAACCUCAACCGUGAAGGAGGGCUGGUAGAGCCGCUGCACCCGAAGGUUCCUUCGCCGGUAGGUUUAGUUUUAUUUGAGAUUUUCUGGCCAACAGAGGCCUCUAACGUAUUUUU
rnacentral:lncRNA from 1 species